GCAGUAGCCGCGGGAAUACGAAGGGUGCAAGCGUUACUCGGAAUUACUGGGCGUAAAGCGUGCGUAGGUGGUGGUUUAAGUCCGUUGUGAAAGCCCUGGGCUCAACCUGGGAAUUGCAGUGGAUACUGGGUCACUAGAGUGUGGUAGAGGAUAGUGGAAUUUCCGGUGUAGCAGUGAAAUGCGUAGAGAUCGGAAGGAACAUCUGUGGCGAAGGCGACUAUCUGGGCCAACACUGACACUGAGGCACGAAAGCGUGGGGAGCAAACAGGAUUAGAUACCCCGGUAGUCCCUGUCUCUUAUAC
rnacentral:rRNA from 1 species